rnacentral:rRNA from 1 species
UACGUAGGGGGCAAGCGUUGUUCGGAAUUACUGGGCGUAAAGGGCUCGUAGGUGGCCAAUUAAGUCAGGCGUGAAAUCCCCAGGCUCAACUUGGGAACUGCGUCUGAUACUGGAUGGCUUGAGUUCGGGAGAGGGAUGCGGAAUUCCAGGUGUAGCGGUGAAAUGCGUAGAUAUCUGGAGGAACACCGGUGGCGAAGGCGGCAUCCUGGACCGACACUGACACUGAGGAGCGAAAGCCAGGGGAGCAAACGGG